rnacentral:rRNA from 1 species
AGCAGUAGGGAAUCUUCCACAAUGGACGAAAGUCUGAUGGAGCAACGCCGCGUGAGUGAAGAAGGGUUUCGGCUCGUAAAACUCUGUUGUUAAAGAAGAACAUAUCUGAGAGUAACUGUUCAAUGUGUGACGGUAUCUUACCAGAAAGGAACGGCUAAAUACGUGCCAG